UACGUAGGGUGCGAGCGUUGUCCGGAUUUAUUGGGCGUAAAGAGCUCGUAGGCGGUUUGUCGCGUCGGCCGUGAAAUCUCCACGCUUAACGUGGAGCGUGCGGUCGAUACGGGCAGACUUGAGUUCGGUAGGGGAGACUGGAAUUCCUGGUGUAGCGGUGAAAUGCGCAGAUAUCAGGAGGAACACCGGUGGCGAAGGCGGGGUCUCUGGAACGGUACUGACGCUGGAGGCGCGAAAGCGUGGGGAGCAAACAGG
rnacentral:rRNA from 1 species